AAACUGGUCCGAGAGGGGAGAGGUGAGUUAACCCGGGUUAAACUGGGAGGGGAGAGGUGAGUUAACCCGGGUUAAACUGGUCCGAGAGGGGAGAGGUGAGUUAACCCGGGUUAAACUGGGAGGGGAGAGGUGAGUUAACCCGGGUUAAACUGGUCCGAGAGGGGAGAGGUGAGUUAACCCAGGUUAAACUGGGAGGGGAGAGGUGAGUUAACCCGGGUUAAACUGGUCCGAGAGGGGAGAGGUGAGUUAACCCGGGUUAAACUGGGAGGGGAGAGGUGAGUUAACCCGGGUUAAACUGGGAGGGGAGAGGUGAGUUAACCCGGGUUAAACUGGGAGGGGAGAGGUGAGUUAACCCGGGUUAAACUGGUCCGAGAGGGGAGAGGUGAGUUAACCCGGGUUAAACUGGGAGGGGAUAGGUGAGUUAACCCGGGUUAAACUGGUCCGAGAGGGGAGAGGUGAGUUAACCCGGGUUAAACUGGGAGG